rnacentral:misc_RNA from 1 species
GAUGAAGAACGCAGCGAAAUGCGAUAAGUAAUGUGAAUUGCAGAAUUCAGUGAAUCAUCGAAUCUUUGAACGCACAUUGCGCCCCUUGGUAUUCCGAGGGGCAUGCCUGUUCGAGCGUCAUUAUAACCCCUCAAGCUCAGCUUGGUGUUGGGGCCUGCUGCACUGGCAGCCCUUAAAAUCAGUGGCGGCGCCAUCUGGCUCUAAGUGUAGUAAUUCUUCUCGCUAUGGAGUCCUGGUGGAUGCUUGCCAUCAACCCCCAAUUUUUCUAUGGUUGACCUCGGAUCAGGUAGGGAUACCCGCUGAACUUAAGCAUAUCAAUAAGCGGAGGA